rnacentral:antisense_RNA from 1 species
UGGACUCACCAGGAAAUGUGACUUUCGUGUCCGACCUCUGCUGUAUCAGGAUUCGAGUCUCGGUGUUAAACAAGACAACACUGAAGGCUCGGUGUAGCAGCCCUGCAAAGCUUUGUGUUUUAGGUUUGUGCCUGCUGAUGUUCUCUGGGCCCUGAAGUCACUAUUGCUGGCUCGUGUGCUGGCCACUUGGUCGUGCUGGCCUGUCUCCUACCGGGUGGACGCCCAGCGAGCUCUGGAUGCUGUGUAUGACAAAGACAUGGGGGUUGUUUGGAGUCUGUGAUGUGCUAUUGUCCUCCAGAUAAUGGUUUUCUGCAAGAAACUAGAGAAGUUUUUCCAGCGUUCUUGGGAGGUGGGCUGUGCCACUGUCUGGCCCACCUGGCCCACCAUUAUCUGAAGGGAAGCAUGAACAGCCUUUGACGUGGGAGU